UACGUAGGGUGCGAGCGUUAAUCGGAAUUACUGGGCGUAAAGCGUGCGCAGGCGGCGCGUUAAGACAGGUGUGAAAGCCCCGAGCUUAACUUGGGAAUUGCGCUUGUGACUGGCGUGCUGGAGUGUGGCAGAGGGAGGUGGAAUUCCACGUGUAGCAGUGAAAUGCGUAGAUAUCGUUUGGAACGCCAAUGGUGAAAACAACUUGCUGGGGGUGUGCUGACGCUGAGACACGAAAGCCAGGGGAGCAAACGGG
rnacentral:rRNA from 1 species